GUUCUAAUGAAAUAGACCUAUCUAAUGAAAUAGACCUAAAUGCACACAUAGUUAUUAUAAGAGAUGAGAAUGAUUUCUCUGAAGUUUUUCUCCUUAUGCUUAUGGCUUAGGUUAGAUUGAAUACAAAUUCCCUGAGCUGGAUUGAAGCCAGGCAUGGGAGAAAGAAAAGCUUCUGGGUCCGGAAUCCCCAGCUCUGGCGAUGAAGAUGCAGCGAGAGUGCCUUUCACAGGGGAGAUCGAUUUCCUGCUUCCGGGGAACAGAGACAGAGGGUCAGAAAGCCCUUUCUGCUUCUCAAUAGCUUCACAAUCUGCAGCAUAGAGCAGAUGACUGAGUUGCCAGAAGACCUGACCAUUGGAAAAGUGAGAACGUUAAUGGAGAGAGAAAAACUAAUACAUGGAAAUUCUUUCCCCAUUCAAAUUGGCACAUGUCUUUCUUUCUAGGAAAGUCUAUGGGGCUCACCUUUUUUAUGAAGUUAAAGUCUGUGGAAAUACGAUCAAAGACAAGAAGUUACAGUUUCAAAGCGCCACCAAUUUCAAAUUCCACAGACAUGUACGCAGGCCCCUCUGGAGAAUGUUGCCAUCUCAUGUUAUAUGCGAGUCUGGGAAAAUUACUAUACUCCCACACUGUAUACUUUGAAUAAAGAUUUGUAUUCCUUAUGCAAAAAUAUACAAAUAUGGAAUAUAUUGGAGACACAAUAUCAUUAGCUUUCAGGGGGGAAGAAUCAUUUAUUGCCUACUUUUGGGGAUUUUAUUUAAAGCACACUGUUCUUUACACAGUACUUUACAGUUUAUAAAGCCUUUUUACAAUUGGUAUUUCAUUUGCUCUUCCCAACCUCGUGUAAAGAAAUGUGGGGCAAAUAUUGCUACCCCAUUUUACAAGCAAGCAAAUGGAGAUAGCUGGAGACCAUCUGUGCUUCUCCUAAUAUGGUGAUCCUGCUGUCCCACAUUGCUACGUGCAUAAGGCCAUCCUGCAGUAUUGAGUGGCAAUCUGAGAGCAAAAUAAAAAUGGAAGUAAAUUCAUUUUCCUUGUCUGUUCUGGAACCUCACAAUUACACUCUUUGCUCAGGGCAUAAUUAAAAAGACAAACCUGUGUCUGAACUAUUCUUCCAGUAUAUACUCUGCACUGAAAUAUCUUUAGAAUAAAGUCAAUAAAUAAAAGAAGUUAAACCAUGCUUCUCUGGUAGGUGAGGAGGUGGGGGGCUCUGGGCCUACCUGCUCAUCUCUCCUCUCCCCUUCCUGGCCCCCUCACAUUCUUCCUCUUCUGCUCACCUUUGAAGCACAGUUCGAGAAUCACUCUCUUCAAAAGUAGAUUCCGUGUGUCCUUGGAAAUGUCUAAAUUGAGGCUCUAUUGUAAUAAGUCACAACCUGUUACUGGGAUUCAAAGAGAAAAUGAAUUCAAGUGAGUGAGAACAAAGUCAUUUGCCCAGGAACCCACUGUGAAGGAUGGAGAGCAUUAAAAUUCAAAAAUGAUUUGCAAGUUAAAAAUUCACUCCUGAGCUAAAAUAGGGCAUCUGUUUAAGUCUUUCUCAACUGCUGCUUAUUCUGUCAAUAAGGUUCACUUUUUUUUUUUUGCGUGUUAUCUUUAUAUACUUCUGUGUG
ensembl:lncRNA